rnacentral:misc_RNA from 1 species
AGGUGAACCUGCGGAAGGAUCAUUACAGAGUUCAUGCCCUUCGGGGUAAACCUCCCACCCUUUGUAUACCUUGCCUUUGUUGCUUUGGCGGGCCGCCUUUUGGCCACCGGCUCCGGCUGGUGCGCGCCCGCCAGAGAACCCCAAACCCUGUCUUACAGUGUCGUCCGAGUACUAUAUAAUAGUUAAAACUUUCAACAACGGAUCUCUUGGUUCUGG